UGCCCGAAUGGUGAUGUUGGUGAUGCCACU
rnacentral:piRNA from 1 species